rnacentral:rRNA from 1 species
GGUGGAUGCCCUGGCAGUCAGAGGCGAUGAAGGACGUGCUAAUCUGCGAUAAGCGUCGGUAAGGUGAUAUGAACCGUUAUAACCGGCGAUUUCCGAAUGGGGAAACCCAGUGUGUUUCGACACACUAUCAUUAACUGAAUCCAUAGGUUAAUGAGGCGAACCGGGGGAACUGAAACAUCUAAGUACCCCGAGGAAAAGAAAUCAACCGAGAUUCCCCCAGUAGCGGCGAGCGAACGGGGAGCAGCCCAGAGCCUGAAUCAGUGUGUGUGUUAGUGGAAGCGUCUGGAAAGGCGCGCGAUACAGGGUGACAGCCCCGUACACAAAAAUGCACAUGCUGUGAGCUCGAUGAGUAGGGCGGGACACGUGGUAUCCUGUCUGAAUAUGGGGGGACCAUCCUCCAAGGCUAAAUACUCCUGACUGACCGAUAGUGAACCAGUACCGUGAGGGAAAGGCGAAAAGAACCCCGGCGAGGGGAGUGAAAAAGAACCUGAAACCGUGUACGUACAAGCAGUGGGAGCACGCUUAGGCGUGUGACUGCGUACCUUUUGUAUAAUGGGUCAGCGACUUAUAUUCUGUAGCAAGGUUAACCGAAUAGGGGAGCCGAAGGGAAACCGAGUCUUAACUGGGCGUUAAGUUGCAGGGUAUAGACCCGAAACCCGGUGAUCUAGCCAUGGGCAGGUUGAAGGUUGGGUAACACUAACUGGAGGACCGAACCGACUAAUGUUGAAAAAUUAGCGGAUGACUUGUGGCUGGGGGUGAAAGGCCAAUCAAACCGGGAGAUAGCUGGUUCUCCCCGAAAGCUAUUUAGGUAGCGCCUCGUGAAUUCAUCUCCGGGGGUAGAGCACUGUUUCGGCAAGGGGGUCAUCCCGACUUACCAACCCGAUGCAAACUGCGAAUACCGGAGAAUGUUAUCACGGGAGACACACGGCGGGUGCUAACGUCCGUCGUGAAGAGGGAAACAACCCAGACCGCCAGCUAAGGUCCCAAAGUCAUGGUUAAGUGGGAAACGAUGUGGGAAGGCCCAGACAGCCAGGAUGUUGGCUUAGAAGCAGCCAUCAUUUAAAGAAAGCGUAAUAGCUCACUGGUCGAGUCGGCCUGCGCGGAAGAUGUAACGGGGCUAAACCAUGCACCGAAGCUGCGGCAGCGACGCUUAUGCGUUGUUGGGUAGGGGAGCGUUCUGUAAGCCUGCGAAGGUGUGCUGUGAGGCAUGCUGGAGGUAUCAGAAGUGCGAAUGCUGACAUAAGUAACGAUAAAGCGGGUGAAAAGCCCGCUCGCCGGAAGACCAAGGGUUCCUGUCCAACGUUAAUCGGGGCAGGGUGAGUCGACCCCUAAGGCGAGGCCGAAAGGCGUAGUCGAUGGGAAACAGGUUAAUAUUCCUGUACUUGGUGUUACUGCGAAGGGGGGACGGAGAAGGCUAUGUUGGCCGGGCGACGGUUGUCCCGGUUUAAGCGUGUAGGCUGGUUUUCCAGGCAAAUCCGGAAAAUCAAGGCUGAGGCGUGAUGACGAGGCACUACGGUGCUGAAGCAACAAAUGCCCUGCUUCCAGGAAAAGCCUCUAAGCAUCAGGUAACAUCAAAUCGUACCCCAAACCGACACAGGUGGUCAGGUAGAGAAUACCAAGGCGCUUGAGAGAACUCGGGUGAAGGAACUAGGCAAAAUGGUGCCGUAACUUCGGGAGAAGGCACGCUGAUAUGUAGGUGAGGUCCCUCGCGGAUGGAGCUGAAAUCAGUCGAAGAUACCAGCUGGCUGCAACUGUUUAUUAAAAACACAGCACUGUGCAAACACGAAAGUGGACGUAUACGGUGUGACGCCUGCCCGGUGCCGGAAGGUUAAUUGAUGGGGUUAGCCGCAAGGCGAAGCUCUUGAUCGAAGCCCCGGUAAACGGCGGCCGUAACUAUAACGGUCCUAAGGUAGCGAAAUUCCUUGUCGGGUAAGUUCCGACCUGCACGAAUGGCGUAAUGAUGGCCAGGCUGUCUCCACCCGAGACUCAGUGAAAUUGAACUCGCUGUGAAGAUGCAGUGUACCCGCGGCAAGACGGAAAGACCCCGUGAACCUUUACUAUAGCUUGACACUGAACAUUGAGCCUUGAUGUGUAGGAUAGGUGGGAGGCUUGGAAGUGUGGACGCCAGUCUGCAUGGAGCCGACCUUGAAAUACCACCCUUUAAUGUUUGAUGUUCUAACGUUGACCCGUAAUCCGGGUUGCGGACAGUGUCUGGUGGGUAGUUUGACUGGGGCGGUCUCCUCCUAAAGAGUAACGGAGGAGCACGAAGGUUGGCUAAUCCUGGUCGGACAUCAGGAGGUUAGUGCAAUGGCAUAAGCCAGCUUGACUGCGAGCGUGACGGCGCGAGCAGGUGCGAAAGCAGGUCAUAGUGAUCCGGUGGUUCUGAAUGGAAGGGCCAUCGCUCAACGGAUAAAAGGUACUCCGGGGAUAACAGGCUGAUACCGCCCAAGAGUUCAUAUCGACGGCGGUGUUUGGCACCUCGAUGUCGGCUCAUCACAUCCUGGGGCUGAAGUAGGUCCCAAGGGUAUGGCUGUUCGCCAUUUAAAGUGGUACGCGAGCUGGGUUUAGAACGUCGUGAGACAGUUCGGUCCCUAUCUGCCGUGGGCGCUGGAGAACUGAGGGGGGCUGCUCCUAGUACGAGAGGACCGGAGUGGACGCAUCACUGGUGUUCGGGUUGUCAUGCCAAUGGCACUGCCCGGUAGCUAAAUGCGGAAGAGAUAAGUGCUGAAAGCAUCUAAGCACGAAACUUGCCCCGAGAUGAGUUCUCCCUGACCCUUUAAGGGUCCUGAAGGAACGUUGAAGACGACGACGUUGAUAGGCCGGGUGUGUAAGCGCAGCGAUGCGUUGAGCUAACCGGUACUAAUGAACCGUGAGGCUUAACCUU